AUUGAACGCUGGCGGAAUGCUUUACACAUGCAAGUCGAACGGCAGCACGGGGGCAACCCUGGUGGCGAGUGGCGAACGGGUGAGUAAUACAUCGGAACGUGCCCGGUCGUGGGGGAUAACGUAGCGAAAGUUACGCUAAUACCGCAUACGAUCUGAGGAUGAAAGCGGGGGACCUUCGGGCCUCGCGCGAUCGGAGCGGCCGAUGUCAGAUUAGGUAGUUGGUGGGGUAAAGGCCUACCAAGCCGACGAUCUGUAGCUGGUCUGAGAGGACGACCAGCCAACUGGGACUGGGGACCGGGCCCGAACCCCAAGGGAGGGCAGCGGGGGGGAAUUUGGGAAAAGGGGGCAAAGCCGAACCCAGCCUUUCCGGGGGGAGGAGAAAGCCCUUGGGUUGUUAAACUGUUUUUUUGGGAAAGAAAAGGGCCCGGGCAAAAACCCGGGGCUCAGGCCGGAACCGAAAAAAAAAGCACCGGCAAACUACGG
rnacentral:rRNA from 1 species